rnacentral:rRNA from 1 species
CGGCGUGCCUAACACAUGCAAGUCGAACGAAGCAUUUACACGGAUUUCCUUCGGGGAUGAAGGGUUUAUGACUGAGUGGCGGACGGGUGAGUAACGCGUGGGCAACCUGCCCCGUACCGGGGGACAACAGCCGGAAACGGCUGCUAAUACCGUAUACGUUUUAAGGACCGCAUGGUCCGUAAAACAAAACUCCGGUGGUACGGGAUGGGCCCGCGUCUGAUUAUCUCGUUGGCGGGGUAACGGCCCACCAAGGCGACGAUCAGUAGCCAGCCUGAGAGGGCGGCCGGCCACAUUGGGACUGAAACACGGCCCAGACUCCUGCGGGAGGCAACUGUGGGGAAUAUUGCACAGUGGGGGAAACCCUGCUGCAGCGACGCCGCGUGAGCGAGGAAGUACCUCGGUAUGUAAAGCUCUGUCAGCAGGGAAGAAAAUGACAGUACCUGACCAAGAAGCCCCGGCUAACUACGUGCCAGCAGCCGCGGUAAUACGUAGGGGGCAAGCGUUAUCCGGAUUCACUGGGCGUAAAGGGAGCGCAGGCGGCACGGCAAGUCUGAUGUGAAAACCCGGGGCUCAACCCCGGGACUGCAUUGGAAACUGCCGGGCUGGAGUGUCGGAGGGGUAGGCGGAAUUCCUGGUGUAGCGGUGAAAGGCGUAGUUAUCAGGAGGAACACCGGUGGCGAAGGCGGCUUCCUGGACGACAACUGACGUUGAGGCUGGAAGGCGUGGGGAGCAAC